UACGGAGGGAGCUAGCGUUGUUCGGAUAUACUGGGCGUAAAGCGCACGUAGGCGGCGUCGUAAGUCAGGGGUGAAAUCCCGGAGCUCAACUCCGGAACUGCCCUUGAAACUGCAAUGCUAGAAUCUUGGAGAGGCGAGUGGAACUCCGAGUGUAGAGGUGAAAUUCGUAGAUAUUCGGAAGAACACCAGUGGCGAAGGCGACUCGCUGGACAAGUAUUGACGCUGAGGUGCGAAAGCGUGGGGAGCAAACAGG
rnacentral:rRNA from 1 species